UACAGAGGUCUCAAGCGUUGUUCGGAUUCAUUGGGCGUAAAGGGUGCGUAGGCGGCGCGGUAAGUCGGGUGUGAAAUCUCGGAGCUUAACUCCGAAACUGCAUUCGAUACUGCGGUGCUUGAGGACUGGAGAGGAGACUGGAAUUCAUGGUGUAGCAGUGAAAUGCGUAGAGAUCAUGAGGAAGACCAGUGGCGAAGGCGGGUCUCUGGACAGUUCCUGACACUGAGGAGCGAAAGCGUGGGGAGCGAACAGG
rnacentral:rRNA from 1 species